GUGUGGGGCGAAACGGAAAGUGAACCAAGCAGUGAUUUAUGUGAUAUUUCUUCUACCAAUUGUUUUUGUGCUACUUCUGAUCAUCAUUCUCUUUUAUAAAUCUUAUAAUAAUGUAAAGAGGUCCCUUAUAAGACAUUUUGGGAGAUUUUCAACCCUUGAAAGACAGACCAUGGAUAACGUAUCUGUAAAAUUCAUCAUUAUUACCACUGCAUUCAUUGUUUGUUGGAUCCCUAAUAUAAUGAAUGGAAUAUUUGUGAAUGUACUGGAUGAUAGAUCAGGACAGUUAGUUCUUGUGUUCAUUGUACUCGAGUCGGUGUUGAAUCCUUUCCAAGUGCUGAUAGACUCCAUGGUGAUGUUCGGAUGGCCGCCAACAGGCUGUUGUUGUCUCAUAUUUAGGUCACAUUCUUAUGACAGCAGUAACUAUGCCAACAUCAAUGACCUACAUAGGUCACAAAGGUCAAGGUCAUCAAGAGCUAAAGAGAUAGAUCCGCUGCUAAGUUUCAGCAGAAACCAACAUACUCUGUGAUAGAUGUUAUCUCCUGUUUUAAGUUACUGCCUUCUUUGAAUUUGUCAUGUUGUUGUUGUUAUUGUUGUUGCUGUUG
rnacentral:lncRNA from 1 species